CCAAUUUCAAUAGUCAGUUGUAAAUGUGAUAAGUUUCAAACUUAACAUUAAAAUUAUGUCUUAUGUCUGUUACUGAAUCCAAGUUAUCAUACAAAGAAAAAUGCAAACUGAAAGUACCUUAAUUUUUUUAAAGAAAUCACUAUGAAAAAAUUAAAUUUCAAAAUGCCCACUUAGGGAUUCUUUUUUUUUUUUGCCUCAGUAGAGAGUGAGAUCAUAUUAAAAACAUAAAUUGUGUUUUAAUUUGUAUAAUUAUUAAACACACUCAAAAGAAACAUAGAAAAAGAGAGAAAAUAUAAGUGAAAAAGCUAAAUCAAUAAAAGCUAAUGAUACUGAUACUACUGUUGACAAUAUUUGAAUAUAUUCUCUUUCUGCUUUUCUAUUUUAUACAUUAGGAUAGUACUAAGUAGUAUUAUAACAUUUUUACUCAAAAUACUAUAUUGUAGAUAUUUUCUCAAAUCCCAAAAUAUUUUUUGUAACAUAAUUUUAGUUUGAAUAUAUUAUGCCAUAACUUAAUAUUUUUCUAUUUUUUGACAUUCAUAUUGUUUUAACAUUUUUACUAUUGUAUAUAAAAUGCUUUGAUAAAUGUAUUUUUGCAUGAAUCUUUUUAUACAUCCUUAUAUUUGUGAUAUGGAGAAUAUUAGAUAUGUAACUUCUGGGUCAAAGAACUUGAAUAUACUUAAAGAUCUUGACUUAAAGUGUCAAAUCGCCGUCCAGAGAGGUUGUGCCACCAUUCUUACUAGUACCUUGGGUAAGGUAAAAAUGCUUUGACUUUUAAAAAUCUCUUAUCGUUGCUAUUUUAAGUUUCACUUUUAUCUAAUAGUUAUUUAUGUGGGUGUCAUUUUCUAAGUGGCUAGUUUAAGCACACUUUGUAAAUUGAUGAGUCAUUUAUAUUACUAUUUGGUGAAGUACCUGUUUUUGCCUAAUUUUCCCUGUGGCUUCAUUCUUUUCUAUUUACAAAUUUACAUCAAGGAUACUAUUCUUUACACUUAUGUUAUAGUCAUUUGUCUGUUUGUUAUUCCUCUUUCAGUUCUAUCUACAGUCUCUUUUGAAGUACUGCUUCACAUUUUAAAAAAUAAAUUUGUUACUCACUCUUGUUUCUUUCUGCUGAUUUGAUACUUAGAAUUUGUUUACCCCCUCUGUUUGAGUUAUAUGAAGCUUCUUAUGUGUCAGACACUGUUCUUUACAAUGUGUUGACUCCCCUAAUCCUCACAAAAUAUCUGUACGAAGCCUCUAUUUUUGUUCAUGUUUUACAUGGAGAUGGAAAUAGUAAAUUAUUUCAUCAAAGUCACAGUAGUAUGUAAAUUGCAGAGCCACCAUUUCAAUACAAGCAGUCCAACUCCAUAUUCCAUAUGCUUAACAAGUAUGUAUGAACUGCUUGUAUUUUCUCCUGUUUACUUCAUGAUUUUAUUUCUUAAUAUUUAAUUGUUAUACACUUUUUGAUUAAUGAUAUAUGUCAUGAGUAGGUUAUUUGCGUUUUUUUAAUUUUGAAGACUUAUGGUAACAAGACUAUUUUUGAAUGAUUUAUUUUUGCACCUUGAUAAAAAAUGUUUCUCCGAGCACAUACUGAAUCUGUAUGUAGUACAAAUUUUGCUCCUUGAAUUUCUGUUUAGUUUUGUCUUUUACUAUUAAACAAUCACCAAAACUAUUGUAUUUUUAAGUGUUUUCAUUUUUUAAAUUAAUAUUUCACCUUCUAUUACUUUCUUAAUAAAAAAACUUUGGUUAUUCUUGAGUUUUAUGGGUUUUUUAAGUUAUUACUACCCUUAGAAAUAUUUGUCAAGAUGUAAAACAGUUUCCAUUAAAAUUUUGUUUUUAAUUUACUUGAAAUAGAUUCACUGAAGGACAAUUCACACUUUAUUAUGUUGUUUUCCCAAUUCAGAAUGGGGUACAAACCCCCCAAUUGUUCAGGAUUUAUUUUAUAUAAUUAUCUAAUAUAUUAUACCUUUUAUAUAGAGUUCCUACAUGUAUGUAUAUGUGUGUGUAUAUAUAUAUAUAUACUCACACACAAAAAUGUACAUAUAUGUAAGUAAAAUAGAUUUAUAGGAGUGUUUGUGUAUGGGGUGGAUAUAUAUAUAUAUAAAUUAUUUAUUAUAACUAUUCUGGAAUUGUCCAAACUAAUGACUCUAUUAUUCAUUUUAAUUUAGAUUUCCACACUUGGCUAUGAUAAUUGGUUUGUAUCUAUUCUCUCCAAAACUGGGAAAUAUUAGGACAGAGUUAUUACACCAUAUUUUGUAACUCUUCAGUGCAUACACAGUAAAUAUUUCUUAUAUGAAUGAAUGCUUUCCUCCCCCCUAUUUAAAUUAGAAAUAUUUUAGCCCUUUUUAAAUUCACAUAUAUUUAACCAUCACUUGUAAAUCACUAGAAGUAGUAUAUUUGAUUGGAACCUGCAAUGCAUUUCUACAAAUUAGUUUUUGUCUCAGAAUAAAACAAUUUGAAAUGAAGGAUUAUCUUUAAAUUAUUAAAUACUGCUAUUUUUAAAGCAAUUUGAGGAAGGUUUUAAGUGUGGUCAGAAGUAGACAUUACCUGUACACAGAUUUUUAUUUCUUGACCCUUGAUUGUUGCUCUCAUGAAUUUGAAAAAAUUAAAAACAGCAAGAGUUUUCAUUUAAUAGAUCCAAGGUUUCUUUAGAGCUGCUUAUUCUUGUUUAUUUUUGUAGCAGCAUGCAAACCUUCUAAAUUUCAGUAAUUCACAUAAAAUGUGAUAUCAGGAAAACACAAUCUUCAAUAGCUAUGGGGAAAAUGUUUUGAAAUCACUCUUAAUGUUUCUCUUUUUCACUUAUGAAGGUAAACAAAACUGAGCAUCUUAUCAUAACUAUAUAUAUAAAUCUAAAAUACAUAUCAGAAUAUGUAUAUAUGUAUAUACAUAUUAUGUGCUAUAUGUAAAUAUAUGUUAAAAUAUUUUUCAUUUGAAAGCAAAAAACUCUUUAAUUUUCUGGUGUGUCUUUGUAGUAGGUUAGCAUUUUAUAUCAGCAUUACUUUGGAAGCUCAAUUGAAUUUCCUUUGAAAUUCCUAUGUGUUAUAUAACCUGAAGAGGAUCACAAAUGUGAGAAACAUUUGUGGUCAUAGAGAACUUUCAUGGCACAUUAAAUAUGUGCAUGUGGGUGGGAGAGAGAGAAAAGAGAAAGAGUGUGUGUUUUUGCUCAUCUGGGUAUCUUUGCAUUGACUUACUAUAUGUUAUUUUUUAAUCCUAGAGAGUCUGAUCUUUUGCCAGUCAUGUUUUCUUUGUGUGGCUUUUUAAAAUUUUAAUUUUUUAACAUUUAGUUUCAUGGGUACAUGUGCAGGUUUGUUGUAUUCGUAAAUAGCAUACCACAGGGAUUUGAUGUGCAGAUUAUUUCAUUAUCCAGGUAAUAAGCAUAGUACUCAACAGGUAAUGUUUUGAGCCUCCUCCUCCUUGCGCCCUCCACCUUCAUGUAGGUCUCAGCGUCUGUUGCUCCUGUCUUUGUGUCCAUGUGUACUCAAUGUUUAGUAUCCGCUUAUAAGCGAGAACAUGUAGUACUGGGAUUUCUGUUCCUGAACUAGUUCACUUAGGAACAUGGCCUCCAGCUCUAUCCAUGUUGCUGCCAAGAAUAUGGUCUCAUUCAUUUUUAUGUCUGUAUAGUAUCUUAUAGUAUAUACAUCCACAUUUUCUUUAUCCAGUCUACUGUUGAUGGGCAUUUAGAUUGAUUCCAUGUCUUUGCUGUUGCAAAUGGUGCUGCAAUGAACCCGUGCACAGUAGGAGUAUCUCUUAUCUCUACUCUAAUAGGCUCACCUCAUUAGGUCAGGUCCAGCUAGUUAAUUUCCUUUUUGUUUAACAUAAGUUUGACUGAUUAGAGACCUUAAUUACAUCUUCAAAGUACCUUUCUUCUUUUCCAUUCUAUUGGUUAAAAGCAAGUUGUUAGUCCUGCUCAUACUCAAGAGGGAGGGAUUACAGACAGGUGUGGAUAUCAGGAGCUAAAAAUAUCAGGGCCAUUUUUAUAAUCCUGCCUACCACACUCUGUGACUACAGUUUGCAAAUAAUUUAAGAGGGAGAAAAUAAUAUCCUGUUUAUGUUAUCUUAAUUUGUAAUUUUUCGCCUGUAUUUUAACCAGCAUGAAAGCACUAUAGAAGCUAUAAUAUCCUCUGUAACUAUUAAAUAAUACGGUGGUUGUGAAUAUUUUCUUAUCUUUGCAUAACUCAAAGGAGAGUUUUGUGACCAUUCUCCUUCUAAGGUAAUUUUAAUAUACUCUAUAGAAGCAUUCUUCAGAUACUUGACCUAAUUCCAAAUUGGUGCUUUGAAAAAGAGACCCAAAUGUGGAUACACUUGAACAUGUUCAUGAUGUGAGGAAUGAUAAAUCUUAAGAGAUUUUCUCAUCAUUUGGACUUUUAUAUUGUUGUAACAGUUUGCCAUAUCAGUCAAGGAGUACUUGUGCCCCACUUGUGGUUUAGAUUGCAUAAUACAAAAGUCUCUAAUACUCUCAAGUAAUAUUUUUCCUGAAUUUAAGAUUAUUUUAUUCAAUCUUACAGGAAAUAAAAAUACAGUCAAGAGAAUUUAUUUUAUUAUACUCGAUUUUAUUUAAAAAUAGUAAUGAUUUACUGAAAAUUAUCAUCAAUAAACAGAAUCUUAGUGUGUAUUGAAAUAUGUACACUGGAAUAAUCUUUUAUUUUGAAAUAUUUAUGCCUUCGACAUUGCUAAUUUAUAUGUCUAGAUAAUUAUCUUUAAAUUAAUAUACAAAAAUUACAGUCAUUUUUAGGGAAAACAUCAUACUUACCCUUUUAAAAUCUUUUAACUUGUUUGAAUUCAAUCUAUACUUACACCUUCUGCUCCCAUUUCUCCUUUUUUGUUUCCAGGUUAAGCUGUAAUAGAAAUUCAGUUGAUGAGACAAGAUGGAAGUUCUGCCAUUGAAUACUCCUUGAAGUUGGAACUCUUCUGAAUAGGCCCAAAGGACAAAAACUUUGACUAUAUAAACUACUUUUGGUCAUUACAGUCUCACUCUGUCAUCCAGGCUGGAGUGCAAUGGCGUAGUCUCGGCUCAGUGCAACCUCUGCUUCCUGGGUUCAAGUGAUUCUCCUGCCUCAGCCUCCUGAGUAGCUGGGAUUACAGGCACGUGCCACCACACCUGGCUAAUUUUUGUAUUUUUUAGUAGAGAUGGGGUUUCACCAUAUUGGCCAGGCUGGUCUUGAACUCCUGACCUCACAAUCCACCCUCCUCGGCCUCCCAAAGUGCUGGGAUUACAGGCGUGAGCCACUAUGUCCAGGCAUCUUCCUUUUAACAACAUGUAUAUUUUUAAAUUAAGCCAAUACAUUUCACAUGAUAACAUUAUGUACAUCUUGGUGAAUAUUUUAUAAAAAUUAUUUUAAAUCUCUUGACAGUACUUAGAAACUUAUGUCAUAAAUUAUAAUGAGAUUAAAUGAGCAAAUCAAACUUCUAGCAUUACAUAGUAAUCAAGAUGUGAUUGCCAGUGGAGUAAUAUUUCAUUUUUAUUACUGUAAUGUUAUCUGAGAAAAUAGAUAUAUUUUGUUUUUUGUAAUUCACUCAGUUAUCCAUUACGUUUCAAGCUCUUCUGAUCCCAUUUUGAAUUUAACUUUUAUUAACCUAACUUUAGUUACAUUUUACUUUACCUAAAUGUCCCAAAAUAUUAGUAUUAGCUCUUUUCUUGUGUAUAAUAAUCUUAAUAAUUUCAGAUUUUUACGUCCAAAUCUAGUACUUUCAGUAUUGAGACAAAUUAAUUUUGUGAAAUUGGGAACUUAAUUUUUCAUUAUAUGAAGAAUCUAAUUCUUAGAUAUUUUUGCUUGCUUAGGUGGCCUUAAAAGGUAAAGACUGCUGGAUACACAAUGCCAUCAACAAUGUUUUUUAUAAUUCCAGUAGAAAUUAAUUUUAAAUAACAAAUAUAUAUAUGGUUUAAUUUUGAUAGCAGAUGAAACUUAUUUUAUGGUUAUUGAAGACUCCCAGUGAUUUCCUUGGGUGGAAAUACUUUAUUGACCCAAAUGGCAGGAAGACCACUCAGCACAGAGGACGGUUCCCAAAUAGGGGAAAAUGGGAGGUAGCCAGCAGACACGCGCCUUCUCAUAUAAUGGAGCGUGGUGACUCUUCUCUGCUGAUCUAUGUUCACACAGCCAACUCUCAGGCAGGAUCCUCUACUGGACUAUACGAUGUGAACAUGGCAGAGUUGCAGGCCCCUGGCCAGGUAGCCAGUUCUUCUGCUGCUAUUAGGACUAUUCUUGGAACCAGCUGUCUCAGAUGUAGGGAUGGGGCCUCGCAUGCAACUAUCUUCCUGGCAAGGAAUAAGAAAGGAAGUACUAGAAAGAAUGCAACAGGGAAGGAAGGAAAGCUAAUUCAAGAUUUAAACGCAAGGCAAGUUUGGAACAAGAAGAAGCAACAAUGCUACACAUUUGCCAGCAGGAGACCGUGUAACACAAGUUCCUUUCUCGAUUGGCUAAAAUAUCUUUCAGAACGAAAUCAAAUACACUCUAAAGAAAGUCUAUUCUUGUUCCUAAUUCUUUAAAAGAGCUUCAUGGAUUUUUUCUUUUUUUUUUUUUUUUGACAGAGUCUCACUCUGUCGCCCAGGCUGGAGUGCAGUGGCACGAUCUUGGCUUACUGCAACCUCUGCCUCUCGGGUUCAAGCUAUUCUCCUACCUCAGCCUACUAGUAGCUGAGAUUACAGGCAUGUGCCACCACGUCUAGCUAAUUUUUGUAUUUAUAGUAGAGACAGGGUUUCACCAUGUUGGCCAGGCUGGUCUCGAACUCAUGGCCUCAGGUGAUCUGCCCGCCUCAGCCUCCCAAAGUGCCAGGAUUACAGGCAUGAGGCACCACUCCCGUCUGUUUUUCUGAGACAGCAUCCUGCUCUGUCGCCCAAGGUGGAGUGCAGUGGUGCGAUCUCGGCUCACUGCAACCUCUGCCUCCCUCCCCCUCAUGGAUGUUUUUAAUAACAGUUGGUCCUGGCUUUGGAGAACCACUAAGCUGAUAUUUUGAAUGAGUCUUAGAAUUAACAUUUCUUCAGUGGCAAUUUUGGUAUGUAUUUUUUCUUAUACACUUUAGCAAUAUGUUUGGAGACCGAACCAUUUUGAAAUAUCAGGUCUACAACUUACUAGAAAAUUUACAAAGCUUCUGCAAGCUUCAUUCUCCUUAUCUGUAAAAUUGAACAAGAGUAACUCCUUGCUUUAAAGUUAAAUGAUUAUGCAUAUCACAUUUUAGCUACUUUGAUUAUAAUUUCAUUAUCUCAGACUGCAUCACAAGAUUAGGUAUUUUAUAAAAUGAUCAUAUUUAUGGAGGUAUAGAAAAUAAAAUUUAUAGCUCAAUAAUAUAUCACUGUAGUACACUUGCGUAUCAGUUACUACAGUCUAAUAUAGUGCUAAUAUUAGAAAAAUGAGAGGAAUCAAAACGUAUUUAUCAAAUUUAUGCAAAAUGAUUAGCACGUUCCUACCAUAUUAUCUCAAGACGUAAGUGCUGUCUAACAGAGUAAAAUAUUCUAUCUUGAUGUUUUGAGAAAGUUAACAGUUUGCAAAAUUCCUAUCCCUCACUCUGUUUUAUUUUGUUUACUAGGUCAUUUUUUUUCAGAAUCUGGUUACAAAAUCCAUUCAUUUUCAUAGUAUUCUAUGCAGCAGAGACAUUUGUAGUCUUGGAGGCAAUAUGAAUGAAAGUUAGUGCUGUCUCCCUGGGAUUAUUUUAAUAGUCUCACUGUGCUCAGUUCUUCACUCCACUGUAACCCUUUCUACACCUUUCCAUGCAUGUUGCACCACUUGGUUUUCUAAAGACUAGUUAGAAUCUGGUCCUUUCUACGGAAGUUUUCUAUAAUUUUACCUGGUUCCUAGGCUUUGAGGUAAUUCCACACCACUAGUAUUUGCCCAGGCAAAUUAUUGACAGCUUCCUAGCACUCCCUACAACUUUCUGAUUUUAUAUAUGGGGACUCAUUACUCCUAUUUCUACAUCCCAUCAACACAUAGGGCAUUGUAAAGGGAAAACUGGCCACCUGCUUCCCGACUGCAACCUCACCUCACCAGAGCGACAUUACCUGCAAAAGCAGAAACUGUUGAAGUUAAUGUUGAAUUACAUGAACCUAAUGACUUUAGAAAAUGGGUCAGCUGCUUCACUAAUUGAUCAAUUCUAUGAUAGUUAAUAUUUGUACUUAGAAGCAUGCAUAGGCUGAACUGAACAGGAUCUUUACUAAAGGGAACUGGCAUAUCUCUGCCUCACAUGGGUGAGAAAAUUUUUUAAAAAAGAGAUCCUGACCGGGUGAUAAAUAUUGUCCUUAGAAAAGGGGUUCUAGAGUUCCUGGCUCAUCUUCAAACUGCGGAAGCAUAAGAUAACACUGAUCAAGUUCAGGGGUUCCAACUAAGGACUGGCAAAGAAGGAGAGGAUAUCAGGGAAUAGAGAGACUCAAGGAACAAGAUUUCCGCUUGUCUGUAGGAGAAGUUAUGUUUCCAGGAAUAUAACUGGAGAUAUGAAUGAAGAGACCUGAAAAUAAGACUGCCUUGGGAAAGAAAAAGUAAAGCUGAGGAAGUGGAAACUUGGUAGAGAUGGGAGAAGCAGACAUACUGAAAAAACUUCCAAAGGGCUCUUUCCCUUGAAGAUCUAGAGUUCAUUCCACAAUUAUGAGAGACUAAUAUUUCAUUUUUAUAUUGUACUUCCCUUACGAAAUUGUUACAUUCGUCUUCACAACUUGGUUUGAUUAUCUCAUAGGAGACUGAAGGGAUAGAAAAGAAUAGGGUGGGAAACCUCACCUGAUCUGCUCAGAGAAGCAACUGUCUGUGAAUGUGAGUUCUGGUUGGUGAUCAGAAGUACAGGAAGGUUGAUUACAGAGAAUUUGGCAUCACUAGCAAAUGAGUAUUACUGCAUAAUUUAACAUAAGAAGAGAAGCACAGUUAACUUUAUUUUCAUGCCAUAUGCCAAUGGAAACUUUCCUUGGCCAGGAGAAAAAAGCAAACAGAUAAACAAACAAAAACGCUGGAGAUAAGAGUUUAUGGAUUCUAUAUUAUAAAGCCUCCACCAUCUUCUAGUAAGAACCUCUCUCCUUCUCUUUUUCUCUUUGAACCCACAUGGCAUGUGUCACUUUCUAACUUAUAAAAGAAGUAUAUUGUUAUAAUACUGGUAAAUUUACAAGUGAUUGCCAUAUCAUAUUUACAACUAGGAAUCUGGGAAUGUAUAGGAUGUUAUUUUCUUUGAUUAUAUAGUCUUAUUUUAUCAUAAUGUAGACAUUUAAAAUAAAUGGAAGACAUUUGAUAACAUUUGUAUAGUAAAUUGCUGAGAAUUGACUACCAGCGAUGAAAUAAAAAAAAUUGUUUUUUUAAAUGUACUCUAUUGACUGGGCACGGUGGCUCAUGCCUGUAAUCCGAGCACUUUGGGAGGCCGAGGUGGGUGUAUCAUCUGAGGUCAGGAGUUCGAGAUCAGCCUGGCCAACAUGGUGAAACCCCUGCUCUACUAAGAAUACAAAAAUUAGCCAGGCGUGGUGGUGAGCGCCUAUAAUCCCAGCUACUUGGGAGGCUGAGGCAGGAGAAUCACUUGAGCCAGGGAGUUAGAGGUUGCAGUGAGCCGAGAUCACACCACUGCACCCCAGCCUGGGCGACAAGAGUGAAACUCUGUCUCCAAAAAAAAAAAAAAAAAAAAAAAUUGGCUCUGUCAUACAAAUUGUUGUCCCCCAACAAAGCGGUUUGUAAGUAUACACAUAAAAGCUACAUAAAAUAAAUUAGCAAUAGAGUGAAAAUUGUUGUUUUUUUCAGUUUGACACACUUGCUCAUGUCACAUAAAUUUUACACGUCUUUUUCUGCCCAACAACUCUCUCUCUCUUUCAUUUGGCUAAUUCUUAUUUGGGAAAGGAAAGAGGUGGCUGUGACUUAGAAAGGGUGACAAAAGGUAUCCUUGUAAAGGAACUGUUCUGUAUCUUGAACGUGGUAGCGAUCACAUGAAUCUACACAUAUGAUGCAAUUGCAUAUAAACAAAUGUAUUCACACACAUAAAUGAAUGUGUGGUGAAUGUGAAUAAGGUAAGUGGGUUUUAUCAAUGCCAAUUAUUUGGCUGUGCUUUUACUAUAGUUAUGCAAGGUGUUACUGUGAAAGAAGAGAGUGUAGGGUAUACAGGAUCUCAUUAUAUCAUUACAUAUACCUGCAUUUUAAUCUACGAUUAUUUUAAAAUAAAGUAAAAUGCCCAGAUAGCCAUCAAUGUUUGUAUUGCUUGUAUGAAAUUAGCAGUGUCUUUUUAUUAAAGAGAUUGUGUUUUUUUUACAGAUGUAUAGAUAAGUUGUGUUCAGUGCUCAUGAAUUAUUAAUCUCUAAGGAUAAAUCUUUACUACUUAAAGUCUAGUUAAAUUCCUUAUAGUUUCUACAUCUUGCUGGAUCUAGAAGCUAAUUACCUAUCUAAACACUUGGAUAGUGAAAGAGCAAAAAAUACCUUUUACUUGAAACACAUAUUUUAAAUAUAGGAUUUCAUUUUAAAAAGUAAAAUUAAUUCUUCUGGUUGUGCUCCCAUCUCAAUGUCUAUUUCUUCUUCUUCUCCUUUUCUGGAUCUUCCAUUUCUCCUGACCUCUACAUGUUUGCUAGUCCAAGGUGUUGCUCUUUUUUUUCUUUCUCUUCUUCAUUCACAUUGUUAAGAACUGUGAAGGUUCUGAACUUCUACUUUACUUGAAAGUUAAUAGUUACCCUGCAAUAGUUCUAUAGAUGCUGCCAAAAGACGCUGGCAGAGGCUCCUCAGUCAGAGACAAAAAACUUUAUCGUUCAAGGCACAAUAGGUAGCAUGAGCUUCAUGUUUCCAUUAUUUUCAUUAUUUUCCGCAAGACCCAGAGAGAUGAUGUGAAGUGAUUGAUGAACAUUAUGGCACAGAUCUAUCUUUUUAAAUUAAAAAUAUUUAUGCAUAUGUAAGAAUUACAUAUAUUUAUGGGGUACAUAUUUUGGUACAAAUAUUCAAUGUAUAGUGAUCAAAUCUGAGUAAUAGGAACAUCCAUCCCCUAGUACUACUACUACUACUACUACUACUACUACUGCUACUACUACUACUAAUGAUAUUUCCCUCGCAACUAGAGGACACCAUGUAAUAUGUAGAUAGAAGUAUUGUGUGGGAAUUCCAUAAAGCCUAUUUAAAGGGAACUUGACUGAGCAAGAAAGAUGGCUUGUUUUUUUAUUUUUUAUUUUUUAAUCCUCUUUUCUCUUUCCUGAAAUACACAAUAGGAUGCCUCAGGUGUAGAAGUCAUGUUAAGCGACUUGCAAUACUGGGGUCUGAAGAAAGCUGAGAACCUGACAACUCCAUGUUUCAGCUUGGAAAAAGGUAGGUAACUAUGGACAGCCCAUCUGGAAUUGUCUUCAAUCUUGUAAGCGUGAGGAAGUGACCAAUCUUCAAUUGUUUCCUCUCUCUGAUUAUAAGAAAUCAGCCAGUGAAGGUAGAGUUUAGGACAGGGAAUGAUGGGACCAUUAGUAAUGUAAACUUCAGAGCAUUUAAAUACUCCCACCCAUUGGUAACUCACGUUCUGGCCUGGUGUCAAAGAUACUCCUUUAUUCAUUCACUAAUUGCCAGAAGGAUGCAUAUGCCUGAUUUCUUCUCUAUGGAGUCCCUGUCUCUAAAACCAAAGGGGAGGGAGAGGCAGUGAGGCUUAGUUCAUGUUUCAGCAAAAAAAAAAAAAAAAAAAAGCCUUUUAACUGGCACAGCCAAUGAAAACAAUAAAGAAAAAAAACUUAUUGAGUGCUAAAAAUAGUGAGUUUACUUUAGGGAUUAGAUACUAGCCUGAGCAUGUUGCACUACAAAUAUUCAGUUCAAAUUCUUCUUUCUUUCUUUUUCUUUCUUUCCUUUCCUUUUUUCUUUUCUUUCCUUUCCUUUCCUUUUCUCUUUUCUUCUUUCUUUCUUUCUUUCUCUUUCUUUCUUUCCUUCCUUCCUUCCUUCCUUC